rfam:Myotis brandtii contig170910, whole genome shotgun sequence.
GCCACAUGAUGUUUCUGCUCUGGAGGUGAGCGCUCUGCGCAGUGAUGACCUUCAUCUAUCACCCUGGACUGAUGGCU